UNGGGCCUCUCCUUUAGGAUGCAUUGUGCAUG
rnacentral:piRNA from 1 species